GGCAGGGUCUGGUUACUGAAGAUCAUACUUGGACCACAGUUGAUAUCAGGAAUGAAAGGCUCCUCUGUAAGAAGCAGUAUUGCUUUAGAAACAAAUUAUUUUCAGCUUCAUAUUGGGAGCUCCAAGUCACAUCUCUUCCUUUUUUUAUGACCAUCUUACUAUUUUCAAAGAAGUUAACUUUGAUGCAAGUUUAUAAGGGAUGACCAUUUGAUUGAAACUAGAGGAGAGAAGAAAGCCAUGAAUCAAUCAACAGGAGCACCCAAAUGAUAACUUGUUCAGGACUAUGAAACUCUCUUGAGAUGUAAACAGAGGAUUUGAAAAAGAGAAGGUGAAGCUGGUUCAAGAUGAAGGUAUUAAU